UGCCUCACAUACAAACUACACUAACGAAUGAUCAUGAAAUUUUGAAUUAAUUAAAUUAAAAUUUUUAAAAGAUAUAAGUGCUAUCCGGUGUCGCGAUUAAUUUUUUUUAAUAACCUGGAAAAAAAUUGUAACUAUUUUAUUGCAUCAGUCUGCAUCACUAUUAAAUGCGGGGUAAAAAUCUGGUUGUUCAUAUAGUUUACAGUAAUCAUUAAAAGAAAAAAAAAAAAGAAAACAACAAAAAUAUGUAAUACAAUAGUUAAUAAUGAAGCGUAGAUUUAAGUAAAGUAGUGGGAGAAUUUAUAUACGGUGAAGAGAAAAAAUGCCUUGGCGAAUGAAAUUGUUUUUGAAGAAUAAGCAAAUUAGAAAAAUGUAUUUUGAAUAGAAGUCUAAGUUCCCACAACAUGAUUAUAUAAAACCGAUGAAAUAGAAUGUGCAUUUGGGGUCCAAAUUUUUGUCUUUUGUUAUUGGCCAUGGACGGGAGGGUAUAGGUGCAUAAUGGCAGCCAACAUCUAAGCCAUACUAGAGCUAGACAUCAUAUAUUGGGAGGAGUUCGCGUUAGAUAGCUAGUUGAUUAACUUAGUGAUAUUUUUUUUUGUUAUUUUAUUGCGACAUUAAAAAGCCAUACGUUUGUUCGUUUUUUUUUGAGAAUUCAAUUAUCUCUUUUAGCUUCAUUAGGGACUCUAUAAUAAAUUAUAUGUAGCAAGAUGUUUCGAAAACUGCAGCAACAACCCAUCCCACCCGGAAGAGCUACGGUUACAAAUACGGGUACCGAUCCGCUGUAAGAUCUUAAUAUCAUGGUGUCAGUUUUUUUUUUGAGAGCCAACACUACCCUGCUACAGUACAAAUUCUUGGACCGUCGUAAGACUAACUUAAGCGAAAGCAUUUGCCAAAGAUGUUUUCAUUAAUCAAGAACGAGAGUUAGAGGUUCGAAGGCGAUCAGAUACCGCCUUAGUUCUAACCAUAAACGAUGCCAGCUAGCAAUUGGGUGUAGCUACUUUUAUGGCUCUCUCAGUCGCUUCCCGGGAAACCAAAGCUUUUGGGCUCCGGGGGAAGUAUGGUUGCAAAGCUGAAACUUAAAGGAAUUGACGGAAGGGCACCACCAGGAGUGGAGCCUGCAACUUAAUUUGACUCAACACGGGAAAACUUACCAGGUCCGAACAUAAGUGUGUAAGACAGAUAGCUCUUUCUCGAAUCUAUGGGUGGUGGUGCAUGGCCGUUCUUAGUUUGUUGAGUGAUUUGUCUGGUUAAUUCCGAUAACGAACGAGACUCAAAUAUAUUAAAUAGAUAUCUUCAGGAUUAUGGUGUUGAAGCUUAUAUUGCCUUCAUUCAUGGUAGCAGUAAAAUGUUUAUUGUGUUUGAAUGUGUUUAUAUACAUAUAUGAAAAAAAAAAAAAUUUACUCAACAUUUAAAAUUUUUCAUAUCAUAUGAAAAUAUAUAUCAUAACGUAUGGGAUUUAUUUAAUUUCGCCCAUUCAUAUGAAAAAAAAAAAAAUUUACUCAUCAUUAAAAUUUUUCAUAUCAUAUGAAAAUAUAUCAUAACGUAUGCGAUUUAUUUAAAAUCGACCAUAU
rnacentral:ncRNA from 1 species